rnacentral:rRNA from 1 species
UACGAAGGGGGCUAGCGUUGCUCGGAAUUACUGGGCGUAAAGCGCACGUAGGCGGUCUUUUAAGUCGGGGGUGAAAUCCUGGAGCUCAACUCCAGAACUGCCUUCGAUACUGGAAGACUCGAGUCCGGGAGAGGUGAGUGGAACUGGCGAGUGUAGAGGUGAAAUUCGUAGAUAUUCGCAAGAACACCAGUGGCGAAGGCGGCUCACUGGCCCGGGUACUG